GAUGAACGCUAGCGGCAGGCCUAACACAUGCAAGUCGAGGGGCAUCAUGGCGUAGCAAUACGCUGAUGGCGACCGGCGCACGGGUGCGUAACGCGUAUGGAACCUACCCACCGCAGGGGGAUAACCCGCCGAAAGGCGGACUAAUACCCCAUGGUUCCCCGACCCUGCCUGGGGUUGGGGGUAAAGCCUACGGGCGGCGGUGGAUGGCCCUGCGUGCCAUUAGCUGGCUGGUGGGGUAACGGCCCACCAGGGCGACGAUGGCUAGGGGGUCUGAGAGGACGAUCCCCCACACUGGUACUGAGACACGGACCAGACUCCUACGGGAGGCAGCAGUGAGGAAUAUUGGUCAAUGGGCGGAAGCCUGAACCAGCCAUGCCGCGUGCAGGAUGACGGCCCUACGGGUUGUAAACUGCUUUUCCCGGGGCGAAGUAACCCCCUCGCGACGGGGGAGUGCCGGUACCGGGGAAGUAACGGAGUACGGCUAACUCCGUCGCCAGCAGCCGCGGUAACACGAGAGUA
rnacentral:rRNA from 1 species